UGGCAAAUACUAGAACGAAGAAGCUAUUUUCAAUAUAUGAUCUAGCUAGCAACAAUGCACCCCUCAGGCCAUUAUAGUGGCCCUGCACACACAGGUCGCAGAAUGGUCAUGAAAGGAACAGCCCCUGCGCAUGACUUCAUAGGCGUACUUGAACAACGGGACCAAGCAGUUGACCUUGAUGUGCCUAUUCAGGAUGCCGCACGACGAGCUGAACGCGGAAGCUGACGUCUGCAUCUCAUCACUCGCCCCCAUGUUCAGCUUAGGCGCGGAGACGCCUGAAACAAUUGUGCGCAAGAUAAAAAAAUGGCUACAGGCUAUCGCGCCCAAGAAACAUGGCUUUGUGUUUUUGGACAUGGAACGCGACGACUAUGACACUUGAAGAAAGGGU